CCAAAGGUGUGCGUUCAUGAGCCCA
rnacentral:sRNA from 1 species